AUGAACGCUAGCUACAGGCUUCACACAUGCCAGUCGCGGGGAAACGACAUCGAAAGCUUGCUUUUGAUGGGCGUCGACCGGCGCACGGGUGAGUAACGCGUAUCCAACCUGCCCAUCACUUGGGAAUAACCUUGCGAAAGUAAGACUAAUACCCAAUGACAUCCCACGAAGACAUCUGAAUGGGAUUAAAGAUUUAUCGGUGAUGGAUGGGGAUGCGUCUGAUUAGCUUGUUGGCGGGGUAACGGCCCACCAAGGCAACGAUCAGUAGGGGUUCUGAGAGGAAGGUCCCCCACAUUGGAACUGAGACACGGUCCAAACUCCUACGGGAGGCAGCAGUGAGGAAUAUUGGUCAAUGGGCGAGAGCCUGAACCAGCCAAGUAGCGUGCAGGAUGACGGCCCUAUGGGUUGUAAACUGCUUUUAUAAGGGAAUAAAGUGGGUCUCGUGAGACUUUUUGCAUGUACCUUAUGAAUAAGGACCGGCUAAUUCCGUG
rnacentral:rRNA from 1 species